AUUGAACGCUGGCGGCAUGCCUUACACAUGCAAGUCGAACGGUAACAGGUUAAGCUGACGAGUGGCGAACGGGUGAGUAAUAUAUCGGAACGUGCCCAGUCGUGGGGGGUAACGUAGCGAAAGCUACGCUAAUACCGCAUACGAUCUACGGAUGAAAGCGGGGGAUCGCAAGACCUCGCGCGAUUGGAGCGGCCGAUAUCAGAUUAGGUUGUUGGUGAGGUAAAAGCUCACCAAGCCUGCGAUCUGUAGCUGGUCUGAGAGGACGACCAGCCACACUGGAACUGAGACACGGCCCAGACUCCUACGGGAGGCAGCAGUGGGGAAUUUUGGACAAUGGACGCAAGUCUGAUCCAGCAAUGCCGCGUGCAGGACGAAGGCCUUCGGGUUGUAAACUGCUUUUGUACGGAACGAAACGGUGAGCUCAUGACGGUACUGUAAGAAUAAGCACCGGCUAACUACGUGCCAGCAGCCGCCGUAA
rnacentral:rRNA from 1 species